rnacentral:tRNA from 1 species
GGCUUGGUAACUCAGUUGGUAGAGCAGAGGACCAAAAAGCCUCGUGUCGGGGGUUCAAUUCCCUUCCCAGCCACCU